rnacentral:rRNA from 1 species
UACGAAGGGUGCUAGCGUUGUUCGGAUUUACUGGGCGUAAAGCGUGCGUAGGUGGCUUUACAAGUCAGGGGUGAAAUCCUGGGGCUCAACCCCAGAAUUGCCUUUGAAACUGUAGAGCUAGAGUAUCGGAGGGGAUAGCGGAAUUGCUAAUGUAGAGGUGAAAUGCGUAGAUAUUAGCAGGAACACCGGUGGCGAAGGCGGCUAUCUGGACGAUUACUGACACUCUGGCACGAAAGCGUGGGGAGCAAACAGG